GCAGCUUAACACACUGAGCAUGAUGUCCCAUGCUAUGGAAUACCCCUUUGGCCAGUUUGGGUCAGCUGUCCUGGCUGUGUCCCCUCCCAACUUCUUGCGCACCCCCAGCCUCCCUGCUGGCUGGGCAAUAUGAGAAGCUGAAAAGUCCUUGACUGUGCAAGCACUGCCCAGUAACAAUGAAAACAUCA